CCACAGUCACACUCAUACACUAUGGAGCGCUUUGGUCAACAUUACAAUAACAGACGGUUCAGUCUGGCAAAAGCAAUUUUCAUAGCGGCCAUCGUUUUAUUAAUGUCGUUUAACUAAAAAGGCACAGUCGACGUUUAGCUGUAAUUAUCACACAUUGUGUUGAUGCAUAGAUUGAAUGUGCUGACUCGCCAGAAUGGCCUGAAGAAAGUUUUUUUCCCCAAGAGUUGUUAGUUAGUUUUUUUGUGCAUCAUGAACAAACGUUAGGGCAAAAAUAAUUUACGUAUGUUGCAAAAUCAGAUAAUUUACAGAAACGUAAAGGUAAACAAGCAUGGAAAUAUAUAUGUUACCUUAAUUACUGAAAAUAUAAACCACAAAUGCACAUAAAUCUAAUAACAUAUACUACUCUGCUGUCAUUUGUUGACACAGUUUCCAUGUUUUCCACGAAUUACAUGUCACUUCUAUCUAACUUGUAUAUAAUGAAAUGUAUACUUCACAGUCAGCGUCUAUGCUUUUUUUUUGAUGAACCUACAACCCCUCUAAUGGUAUUAAUAUAUCCGAUAGUCCCUGAAGGCCGCAUAAGACAUGGGAAACCACGCCUCUUUACACACAAACUGCUGCACUGCUUAACCAUCCAUUUAGUAAAGUUAUCGACUUUCCAAGAAACAACCAUAAUGCCAAAAAACGAAAAGUGUUUAAGGUUAGUUGUGCAGUGUUAUAAAUGCACAUAUUAUAAUUUGUGAAAAAGUCACCGCCAACAAAGACCGACAGAUACUAGACCAAAACAAACUUUCCAAGUUGCAUCAAUUAGCAACACCUGUGUCAUUCAGGGAUGCUGGGCUACUUUCCACAUAAACCUGUUCAUUCCCCGGGGGGUAUGAAGGACACAAGGUGUGAUUUACAACUUCUAUUGAUGCAGUGGGGUACCCAAUUUCAUGGAGAGGCUGUCUGAAAGGAUAAAAAGGUCCAUGGGAGGUCUGAAGGUCCAGAGUCAGCAAAAUCCAUCUGGUUCUGUCAGCAACCUUCAGAGAAGAGCUUUGCAUUGCAGCAGAAUGGCGAAACACGCGAAGACGGUCGAGUAGGCAGACGUGGAUGGGCUGAUAAGUAGCAACUCAACCCCCACCCUUCACCACUGGAUGAGGCAUGGAGAAGGCCGCCCCCUGCCGCCACUGAGGACAACUACACUAAUACAGACAAGCGCGCCUCAACAGUUACACACUCAAGAGUUGGGGUUUUGCCGUAUGCAACUAGCUACCAUCUCCAACGCUUGUGCAAAACAGAAAAGAAAACUGGCUAGUCAGGAGCCGGACACAAGGGUGAACGGUGUGCCGAGAACUGGAGAAACCCGGGGCGAUGGAAAGAGAAAGGAGGAUCACAUCACCUCGCCCACACAGCCUCUCACCUCGACACACUGAGGUCAGAAAAAUCACACAGGUUUCUUAAAGUUCCAGACACAAUAUUUUUUUUGUCCAAGAAGUGGUUGUCUUUUACAUAUAGUCCAUUUUUUGUCAGUUCCUCAGUGGCACUUUACAAAUACAUUUUUGACCGUUUUGAAAAUUUCAAGCUCCUUUGGUUUUUGGCUGACCAACUAAGUCCAUCUUGUUUGAUUUCUCCACACAAAAGUCUUUAAAUAAGAACAUCCUGGGAAAGAAGUGCUACUCUCUCUCAACUGAGCCCCUUUAGGUAGCAGUCAGCCGUCUCUGGCUACACUGUAUUGAAUCGUUCCUCUUAUUUUUAAUGAGCAAGCAGUUUCUUACCCAGUACAUUUCAGUCAGCUCUUCCCUUUCCCUCCUCCAGGGUUGGCGUAGAUAUCUGGGCAGUCAGGAUCUUGGGCAGCUGCUGAUUGUGUAUGUAUCUGUGCGUGUGUGUGUGUGUGUGUGUGUCUGUGUGUGUGCUUUGAUAGACCAUCGCCGUGGCGACACAAGAUUGGAAGUGGCAAGAGCCAGACAAAGACUGCUCCUGGUGUUGGAUUAGCAGUCAAAACACUGUCGUCCAGAGUUGGUUGUGUGCUUCUUAUAGAGGAUCCAACUUAGGUCGGGGCCUCCAGGGUUUUGUCUAAUAGUUUAAUUUGCAGUAGCCACAUAAGCCAGAUGGAAGCAGAAAUCAUGAGCAUUUUCUUUUAAGUAAAUGUACGCUGGGCAGGAAAAAUGUGCGAAUGUUGCAAAGGGCUAUAGGUUGGGGAUGCUCUGGUUUGUAAAGUUUAAGUGUCAGUCAAGUUUCAAUAAAGGAAAAGUUCAGAGAAGCACUAAUCCUUCCCUACUCCCAUCAGUCUUUAUCUUAAAUACAACUCCAGCUACAUUGAACACAAGAACAUUCUAGGUUUGCCUGGACUCACCCCAAAUUUCGCAGAUAUGUAUGCUUCGCUUGUAGGUACAGUGUAAACUUGGCAAACCACCCUUGCAUUAAUUUUCUUCAGAGGUGUUCAUUUGGCUUGCAGUCAUCAUUUUUGAUAUUUCCUCUUGAUUCCGUAUAUUGAAUAUAGAACUACAAUAAAUUGGACUCUAGAGAUGGUUUUAUUUUAUCUAUCCUAUUUUGAAAAAAGUUCUCAACAAAAUGGACUCCCAACAUUAUGGUUUUUAGUGUAAAUUCUUGAAGGCAACAUAAAAAUGUUUUUUUCCCAUCUUUUCUUCCAACAGGGGGACUGAAGUAUGCCAAUAUGGCCAGCUUUCAAGCAAUCACCCCUUGAAGCUCUCCCUGUGGUGAAGCUGAAGGAUCCCCUGCAUUGCACUGUGGGAGACGCCAACCUCAGCUCUGAACCACCCUUCAGAUAUUCAGUGCGCCCUGGGAAGUGCGGUCCUCAGCUCUCCAGACUCAUGAAGGCCACCACCUGCUCCAGCUUGAAGGCCAGCCUCUGUUUCCUGGCUCCAUCGUCCUGCUCCAGUGCACACACAAUCUGCCAGCAGGACAUUGAGCCCCAGCCACUCGAGAGGAUGAGAGAGAGAGUAUUUGUCAGGAAGCAAAUCUUCAGAGCAAACUGACUAAAGGAAAGGCAGAGAUGUAAAGAAAAGUAGAUUUCCCUUCUUAAACAUAUUUCCAUUAGACUGCGCACCAGGCAGCUCACCUCUCCACCCAGCUCUUGUAGCUGGGGAUGUCCUUGGCAUAAAGCAGCUUGUUAGAGGGUGAGUCCUUCCCAAGGCG